GACAGAGGGUGCAAACGUUGUUCGGAAUUACUGGGCGUAAAGGGCGUGCAGGCGGUCUGUUAAGUCUAGGGUGAAAGCUCCCGGCUCAACUGGGAGAGGUCCUUGGAUACUGGCGGACUUAAGGGAGGUAGAGGAAAGUGGAAUUCCCGGUGUAGUGGUGAUAUGCGUAGAUAUCGGGAGGAACACCAGUGGCGAAGGCGGCUUUCUGGGCCUUACCUGACGCUGAGACGCGAAAGCGUGGGGAGCGAACCGG
rnacentral:rRNA from 1 species